UACGUAGGUGGCGAGCGUUGUCCGGAUUUACUGGGCGUAAAGGGAGCGUAGGCGGACUUUUAAGAGAGAUGUGAAAUACUCGGGUUCAACUUGAGUGCUGCAUUUCAAACUGGAAGUCUAGAGUGCAGGAGAGGAGAAUGGAAUUCCUAGUGUAGCGGUGAAAUGCGUAGAGAUUAGGAAGAACACCAGUGGCGAAGGCGAUUCUCUGGACUGUAACUGACGCUGAGGCUCGAAAGCGUGGGGAGCAAACAGG
rnacentral:rRNA from 1 species